GAGGUUGUGGCUCAGCGGUAGAGUGCUCACCUCACAUGUGGGAGGCCCUGGGUUCGAUCCUCAGUACCACA
rfam:Ictidomys tridecemlineatus contig022470, whole genome shotgun sequence.